rnacentral:rRNA from 2 species
AGACCCGAAACCCGGUGAUCUAGCCAUGGGCAGGUUGAAGGUUGGGUAACACUAACUGGAGGACCGAACCGACUAAUGUUGAAAAAUUAGCGGAUGACUUGUGGCUGGGGGUGAAAGGCCAAUCAAACCGGGAGAUAGCUGGUUCUCCCCGAAAGCUAUUUAGGUAGCGCCUCGUGAAUUCAUCUCCGGGGGUAGAGCACUGUUUCGGCAAGGGGGUCAUCCCGACUUACCAACCCGAUGCAAACUGCGAAUACCGGAGAAUGUUAUCACGGGAGACACACGGCGGGUGCUAACGUCCGUCGUGAAGAGGGAAACAACCCAGACCGCCAGCUAAGGUCCCAAAGUCAUGGUUAAGUGGGAAACGAUGUGGGAAGGCCCAGACAGCCAGGAUGUUGGCUUAGAAGCAGCCAUCAUUUAAAGAAAGCGUAAUAGCUCACUGGUCGAGUCGGCCUGCGCGGAAGAUGUAACGGGGCUAAACCAUGCACCGAAGCUGCGGCAGCGACACUGUGUGUUGUUGGGUAGGGGAGCGUUCUGUAAGCCUGUGAAGGUGUGCUGUGAGGCAUGCUGGAGGUAUCAGAAGUGCGAAUGCUGACAUAAGUAACGAUAAAGCGGGUGAAAAGCCCGCUCGCCGGAAGACCAAGGGUUCCUGUCCAACGUUAAUCGGGGCAGGGUGAGUCGACCCCUAAGGCGAGGCCGAAAGGCGUAGUCGAUGGGAAACAGGUUAAUAUUCCUGUACUUGGUGUUACUGCGAAGGGGGGACGGAGAAGGCUAUGUUGGCCGGGCGACGGUUGUCCCGGUUUAAGCGUGUAGGCUGGUUUUCCAGGCAAAUCCGGAAAAUCAAGGCUGAGGCGUGAUGACGAGGCACUACGGUGCUGAAGCAACAAAUGCCCUGCUUCCAGGAAAAGCCUCUAAGCAUCAGGUAACAUCAAAUCGUACCCCAAACCGACACAGGUGGUCAGGUAGAGAAUACCAAGGCGCUUGAGAGAACUCGGGUGAAGGAACUAGGCAAAAUGGUGCCGUAACUUCGGGAGAAGGCACGCUGAUAUGUAGGUGAAGUCCCUCGCGGAUGGAGCUGAAAUCAGUCGAAGAUACCAGCUGGCUGCAACUGUUUAUUAAAAACACAGCACUGUGCAAACACGAAAGUGGACGUAUACGGUGUGACGCCUGCCCGGUGCCGGAAGGUUAAUUGAUGGGGUCAGCGCAAGCGAAGCUCUUGAUCGAAGCCCCGGUAAACGGCGGCCGUAACUAUAACGGUCCUAAGGUAGCGAAAUUCCUUGUCGGGUAAGUUCCGACCUGCACGAAUGGCGUAAUGAUGGCCAGGCUGUCUCCACCCGAGACUCAGUGAAAUUGAACUCGCUGUGAAGAUGCAGUGUACCCGCGGCAAGACGGAAAGACCCCGUGAACCUUUACUAUAGCUUGACACUGAACAUUGAGCCUUGAUGUGUAGGAUAGGUGGGAGGCUUUGAAGUGUGGACGCCAGUCUGCAUGGAGCCGACCUUGAAA